rnacentral:rRNA from 1 species
AGAAUCAACGCUGGCGGCGUGCCUAACACAUGCAAGUCGCACGAGAAAGGGUAGCAAUACCUGAGUAAAGUGGCGCACGGGUGAGUAACACGUGAAUUAUCUACCUCCGAGUGGGGAAUAACUGAGAGAAUCUUAGCUAAUACCGCAUAACACUUACGAGUCAAAGCAGCAAUGCGCUUGGAGAGGAGUUCGCGGCAGAUUAGUUAGUUGGCGGGGUAUGGCCCACCAAGACGAUGAUCUGUA